GAAACUAAAGAUCCUCUUCGUGUCCAACCACAUCUGAAGAAAUGCUUCGAAGGAGUUUCAAAACUCGAGUUUACAGAUGACCAAGAAAUUGUCGGCAUGAUCAGUGCUGAAAAUGAAACUGUGCCAUUUAGUUCCAAAAUUUAUCCUGCCAAGGCUAAGGUGAGAUGUGUAGACUAGUUU